UCUGGGACAAGCCCUGGAAACGGGGUCUAAUACCGGAUAACACCUGCCCGGGCAUCUGGGUGGGUUAAAAGCUCCGGCGGUGAAGGAUGAGCCCGCGGCCUAUCAGCUUGUUGGUGAGGUAGUGGCUCACCAAGGCGACGACGGGUAGCCGGCCUGAGAGGGCGACCGGCCACACUGGGACUGAGACACGGCCCAGACUCCUACGGGAGGCAGCAGUGGGGAAUAUUGCACAAUGGGCGAAAGCCUGAUGCAGCGACGCCGCGUGAGGGAUGACGGCCUUCGGGUUGUAAACCUCUUUCAGCAGGGAAGAAGCGAAAGUGACGGUACCUGCAGAAGAAGCGCCGGCUAACUACGUGCCAGCAGCCGCGGUAAUACGUAGGGCGCAAGCGUUGUCCGGAAUUAUUGGGCGUAAAGAGCUCGUAGGCGGCUUGUCACGUCGGGUGUGAAAGCCCGGGGCUUAACCCCGGGUCUGCAUUCGAUACGGGCUAGCUAGAGUGUGGUAGGGGAGAUCGGAAUUCCUGGUGUAGCGGUGAAAUGCGCAGAUAUCAGGAGGAACACCGGUGGCGAAGGCGGAUCUCUGGGCCAUUACUGACGCUGAGGAGCGAAAGCGUGGGGAGCGAACAGGAUUAGAUACCCUGGUAGUCCACGCCGUAAACGGUGGGAACUAGGUGUUGGCGACAUUCCACGUCGUCGGUGCCGCAGCUAACGCAUUAAGUUCCCCGCCUGG
rnacentral:rRNA from 1 species